UUGUGCAGGGUGGAGAAGCAGGGCACGUGCAUGGCUUGCACGUCUUCUUCUUCCACCAACGAAGGCUGUGCCUGUUCUUCAUGUGCCCAUCUUCUCCACCAUGCACAG
rnacentral:pre_miRNA from 1 species